rnacentral:rRNA from 1 species
UACAGAGGGGGCAAGCGUUGUUCGGAAUUACUGGGCGUAAAGGGCGCGUAGGCGGCCUUCUAAGUCGAACGUGAAAUCCCUGGGCUCAACCCGGGAACUGCGUCCGAUACUGGGAGGCUUGAAUCCGGGAGAGGGAUGUGGAAUUCCAGGUGUAGCGGUGAAAUGCGUAGAUAUCUGGAGGAACACCGGUGGCGAAGGCGGCAUCCUGGACCGGUAUUGACGCUGAGGCGCGAAAGCCAGGGGAGCAAACGGG